GGUUCAAGCUAUUUCGUCUUAUUCUAUGAGUGCUUUUCAUGUGCCUAAAGGAUUUUGCAAAGAAUUAUCUUCUCUGUGUGCUAAUUUUUGGUGGGUAAAAGGCGCAACUAAAGAGGGAUACAUUGGGUUAAAUGAAGUUCUCUUUGUCGUCAUAAAAAUAUGGUGGCUUGGGUUUUCAAGAUUUCGAUUAUUUUAAUCAAGCUUUAUUGGCUAAGCAGUGUUGGCGCAUCCUUUGCAACCAUGCAUCUUUGGUUAGUCAAGUUUAUUUGGGUAAAUAUUAUUCAAAUAAGACUUUUCUCACCAAUUUGUUUGUGCAAAAUCCUUCCCUUGAAUAUUCGGAGAAAAUUCUCGCGUCUCUUGAUCGUCUUCUUCCUCGAAUCUUGCAAAAUAAAUGGCGGUCAACAGAGCACAGUCAGGGGUUAUUGGCCAAAAAUCAUCCGAUGCCUAAGUUAUUAAAUAGUCUUGGGAAGAU
rnacentral:lncRNA from 1 species